AACAAUGCAGCUGUGCAACUGAAAUACUGGAACUUUUUUGUCAUGCCUUUUCCAGUAAGAUGUUACUGUUCUUUGAGUCAGAGUUAUUAUUCUUUUGGUCAGCACUUCCUUACAGGUCUCAUUUUUGUCACCAAAGUCUGUGCUGGGCAAUAGUUGCUCAUGCUGGGCGACUGCAUUGGCCUACCAUUCGCUCCAGUCACAGAAGUCCGGAAAGCAGAACUGAAACCAGAAGGACAGAAAGAGCUGCCCACUGAAUGGUAUCUAAGCCGAGAAAUGAGAUACCUCUUUUCUGCUUACAACUCGUUGCCUAGAACUGGAAUGUGG